CUACGGGGUGCACCAGUGGGGAAUAUUGGACAAUGGGGGAAACCCUGAUCCAGCAAUGCCGCGUGUGUGAAGAAGGCCUGCGGGUUGUAAAGCACUUUCGGUUGGGAGGACUGCUUCUAGCACUAAUAUUGUUGGAAGUUGACGUUACCUUCAGAAGAAGCACCGGCUAACUCCGUGCCAGCAGCCGCGGGUAAUACGGAGGGUGCAAGCGUUAAUCGGAAUUACUGGGCGUAAAGCGCGCGUAGGCGGCUAGAUCAGUCGGGUGUGAAAGCCCCGGGCUUAACCUGGGAACUGCAUCCGAUACUGUCUAGCUUGAGUACAGGAGAGGAGAGUGGAAUUCCAUAUGUAGCGGUGAAAUGCGUAGAUAUGUGGAGGAACACCAAUGGCGAAGGCAGCUCUCUGGCCUGAUACUGACGCUGAGGUGCGAAAGCGUGGGGAGCAAACAGGAUUAGAUACCCCCGUAGUC
rnacentral:rRNA from 1 species